ACUCAAAUGAAUUGACGGGGGCCCGCACAAGCGGUGGAGCAUGUGGUUUAAUUCGAAGCAACGCGAAGAACCUUACCAGGUCUUGACAUCCCACUGCCCGGUAUAGAGAUAUACCUUUCCCUUCGGGGACAGUGGUGACAGGUGGUGCAUGGUUGUCGUCAGCUCGUGUCGUGAGAUGUUGGGUUAAGUCCCGCAACGAGCGCAACCCUUGAUCUUAGUUGCCAGCAUUUAGUUGGGCACUCUAAGGUGACUGCCGGUGACAAACCGGAGGAAGGUGGGGAUGACGUCAAAUCAUCAUGCCCCUUAUGACCUGGGCUACACACGUGCUACAAUGGAUGGUACAAAGGGCUGCGAGACUGCGAAGUCAAGCCAAUCCCAUAAAACCAUUCUCAGUUCGGAUUGCAGGCUGCAACUCGCCUGCAUGAAGCUGGAAUCGCUAGUAAUCGUGGAUCAGCAUGCCACGGUGAAUACGUUCCCGGGCCUUGCACACACCGCCCGU
rnacentral:rRNA from 1 species